AAUGAACGCUGGCGGCGUGCCUAAUACAUGCAAGUCGAGCGAACAGACGAGGAGCUUGCUCCUCUGACGUUAGCGGCGGACGGGUGAGUAACACGUGGAUAACCUACCUAUAAGACUGGGAUAACUUCGGGAAACCGGAGCUAAUACCGGAUAAUAUAUUGAACCGCAUGGUGCAAUAGUGAAAGACGGUUUUGCUGUCACUUAUAGAUGGAUCCGCGCCGCAUUAGCUAGUUGGUAAGGUAACGGCUUACCAAGGCGACGAUGCGUAGCCGACCUGAGAGGGUGAUCGGCCACCCUGGAGCUGAGACACGGUCCAGACUCCUGCGGGAGGCCGCAGUAGGGAAUCUUCCGCAAUGGGCGAAAGCCUGACGGAGCAACGCCGCGUGAGUGAUGAAGGUCUUCGGAUCGUAAAACUCUGUUAUUAGGGAAGAACAAAUGUGUAAGUAACUAUGCACGUCUUGACGGUACCUAAUCAGAAAGCCACGGCUAACUACGUG
rnacentral:rRNA from 1 species